rnacentral:lncRNA from 1 species
CACACAAUGGGAGAGAACAAAGGGGAGCGGAGCGAGACCGCGGCCUGCGCCCGCCCCCCGCUUGCGCACAGUCCCCGCCCCGCCCCGCGGGCGCCGCCGCCGCCGCCCUCCCUCCCGCGCCUCCUUCUGACCCCGAGCGAGAGACCUGGUCGGGAGUCCGGCGGCUAGAGUUGAUUGCAAGGGGCCUGUUGCUCGACUGUGCGUUAAAGAGGCUAGAGGGAGCCUAGGUAGACGUGGGGCGCAAGCUGGAGCCGGCAGCUUGCGAGGGGGCCUUUACGUGAUGAGGCUCACCAUGGGGUCUCCAGCGAGGUGUCUGCAGAGCUUCGAUGGUGAGAGGAGGAACUCGAUUUCUCGUUUUCUGGAGUUGGGAUGUAGACAUAGAGAGAUCUGUUACAUCUGAGAUGAAAACCCUGCACAAUUCACGUUAGGGUUGGCCAAUUGUUUGCUUGACCUUAAAUGGUUAGUGUGGUUUAAGCUUCCCCAAAAUGCGCUGUGAGCUGAGCUUCCACUUUUGGAAUGAUUGCAGAAUUCGGUGCUUAAGAGAUGAGAAACUUCGUUCUACCAGUAAUGGAAGAAACGCUUCACCUUAAUCACCCUCCUUGUCUUUCCCCUCCCUUUGACUAUGUAGGACUCGAUAACACAACAUUUGAAAGAUUCUACUCUAUGAAAUAAGCACAGAUUGAAAUUCAGUAUUUGCCAAGGAAUAUUAAACAUGAAUUACUGGGAUUGAGGAAAGCCUGAUUUAUUUACUUGUUAGUGUCUGGAAUUCUGUUGGCCAGAUUCAUAGCAUUCAUUGUAUGAGUAUAAUUGGAACAUUUACUCUAAUGUAGAUGCAGAUGCAUCUGCAAUUAGAUGUGCAAGGACGCUGCCAGCUAACUAGCUGCACGACUUUGAGCGAAUUACUGGGUCAGAACUUGUAUCUACCCAUCUCAGAAACAGAAAUAGUGGGAUCCGCGUUGUCUAGUUGUUAUGAAGAGUCAAAAUAUCUUUGGUAACUCACCUAGCAUAGUAUCUGACACUAUUAGGUGAAUACUAAAUAUUAGCUAUCAUUGUCUCCCCACUUGAGCUAUGUAAACUAAUAGGACCUUUAGGAGAAUAUACUAUUAAUAGAAUCUUGGAGAUAGAGGAAAGGUAGAAACCCCUUGCUAGUUUGUUACAAGGUCUCCCCUUCUCCAUGCUCUCCCCUGACCCCCAUGCUAUUUCAACUGGGGGGAUGGGCAGGAACCAUUGAGAAACACUAGGGCAAAAAACAUGUUCAUGAAUAAUAGGGGAAGGAAAGGAACUUGGGUAUAGAAAACUAGAGGCAAAAGGUGAGGCAAGACCAACCAUAUAAUUUGGUACUUGAGACUCAAGUGAACUUAUUUUGUGUGUGUUACAUUAUAACAAUUUUUGAAUAAAAUAGGACAUAUCGGUUAACGUGAGUUUGAAGAUUUUACAAAUAAUAGUUCCCAUUUAUUAAGCACUUCGAAUGUGCCGUAUGCGCAUAAACACUUUAUAUGCAAUGUCUCAUUUAAUCUUAAGGACAGCCCCAAAGUAUCCCCAACUUUAUGGAUGAAGAUACCCACGCUUGGAAAUACUAAGUAAGUUGGUCAAGGUCUCACAACCUGGAAGUGGUCAAGCAGGGGUUCAAAUCCAAGAGCAUCUGACUCCCCACACUGUUCUGUACUGAGCUUUGUAUGGUGAAAAAUGGGGUUCCUCAGCUUUAAGUCAGUGUGUGUUUACAAAAAUUGCUUGGGUGGGGCCGGAGGAGGAGGCUUCCAUUGAGACUUUUCCUAUGUAACUAUCAGCCGUCUGACUUGCAAAAGGACUCAACCAAAAUUUUACAAAGCAAAUACUGCAAACCUCAUUAUGGUCUUUGCUCCAAGCUUUGUAGAAUAUUUUAGAUUCAUUUUAAGAGAUUUAUGCAGCAAGGCAUUCUGAAAGGCACAUUUUCAAUAUUAGUUAUAUUUAGCUACUUUUUAUACCCUAGAGACCCAAGAUUCACAUUGCAAAACACAUGCAAGGUAUCCAGAUGUACAAAGUAAUCAACAAAUUAAGAUCACAAGAGAACUUUGGCAGUUCAGCAAACCAAAAUAAACUGCACUGUUGUAACUACCACUUACUGGUUGAUUACCUUCUUUGUACCUAGCAUUUUACACAUACCUCUGAUCUCCACAAUCCUGUGAGGGAACUCUUAGUGCUCCAUUUUUAUAGAUGAAGAUACUGAAGUUUAGAGAGUGCAUGUAAUUUGCUCAUUACCAUGUGUCCAGUAAGUGGGUAAAAGCAGAUUAGAAUACAGGUCUGCCUCCAAAUCGACUCCAAAA